rnacentral:rRNA from 1 species
UGGGUCACCUCCCACCCGUGUUUAUUUUACCUUGUUGCUUCGGCGGGCCCGCCUUUACUGGCCGCCGGGGGGCUCACGCCCCCGGGCCCGCGCCCGCCGAAGACACCCCCGAACUCUGUCUGAAGAUUGAAGUCUGAGUGAAAAUAUAAAUUAUUUAAAACUUUCAACAACGGAUCUCUUGGUUCCGGCAUCGAUGAAGAACGCAGCGAAAUGCGAUACGUAAUGUGAAUUGCAAAUUCAGUGAAUCAUCGAGUCUUUGAACGCACAUUGCGCCCCCUGGUAUUCCGGGGGGCAUGCCUGUCCGAGCGUCAUUGCUGCCCUCAAGCCCGGCUUGUGUGUUGGGCCCCGUCCUCCGAUUCCGGGGGACGGGCCCGAAAGGCAGCGGCGGCACCGCGUCCGGUCCUCGAGCGUAUGGGGCUUUGUCACCCGCUCUGUAGGCCCGGCCGGCGCUUGCCGAUCAACCCAAAUUUUUAUCCAGGUUGACCUCGGAUCAGGUAGGGAUACCCGCUGAACUUAAGCAUAUCAAU